rnacentral:tRNA from 1 species
GAAAAUUUAGUUAAAAUAUAUAACAUUAUUUUGUCAAAAUAAAAUUAUUCUGAAGAAUAUUUUUCU